AAAUGUCUUCAGGGCAGGGUGUAAUUCCCGACCGGCGGUGACUUUUCUCCGUUGCCUAUUUUUGCUUUAAUUUGUUGUUGACUCGGCUCGCCUAACUUCAGUUAUGCUUACGCCCAAUCGACUAGACAAAAAGCAAAUUCUUAGUCAACUUCAGUGGGAAAAGAAGUCCGCGAGCGAAAGCUGAUGUGGUGAAAUUCCACAACCGACAGUAAAGUCUGGAUGGGAGAAGACCAGG
rnacentral:ncRNA from 1 species